CCUACGGGAGGCUGCAGUGAGGAAUAUUGGUCAAUGGACGAGAGUCUGAACCAGCCAAGUAGCGUGAAGGAUGACUGCCCUAUGGGUUGUAAACUUCUUUUAUAUGGGAAUAAAACGUUCCACGUGUGGGAUUUUGUAUGUACCAUAUGAAUAAGGAUCGGCUAACUCCGUGCCAGCAGCCGCGAUAAUACGGAGGAUCCGAGCGUUAUCCGGAUUUAUUGGGUUUAAAUGGAGCGUAGGUGGAUUGUUAAGUCAGUUGUGAAAGUUUGCGGCUCAACCGUAAAAUUGCAGUUGAAACUGGCAGUCUUGAGUACAGUAGAGGUGGGCGGAAUUCGUGGUGUAGCGGUGAAAUGCUUAGAUAUCACGAAGAACUCCGAUUGCGAAGGCAGUUCACUGGACUGCAACUGACACUGAGGCUCGAAAGUGUGGGUAUCAAACAGGAUUAGAUACCCUUGUAGUC
rnacentral:rRNA from 1 species